rnacentral:lncRNA from 1 species
GAAGAAGCUCGAGGAUAAAGCUGGAGAUAAGAAGGAAGUCAUGCACGUCUAAGACUCUCACAUGACUUGUGAGGAGAGUGGAGAUACUGGACACUCAGGCAAUCACUGUCCUGAGAUGCUUGAGGACGUAAACUACAAAAACAACUACUACUACAACCGUCCUAAACAAAAUCAAGGCUGGAAACAAGAGAGGCCUAACUACUCAGACAUGUUUGAUAUAGGUAACUACUGGAGUAACCCUGUUGUGGAAGUAACUACUGACCUUCUGCCGGUCAAGAGAGGCGAUCCAGGACGCCCAGUCAUCCCGAUCUCCAUCGGCAUGGUGGACUUCCCAGAAGCACUCUGCGACUUUGGCUCCAGCGUCAACAUUAUGCCCAGGGUACUCUAUGAAAAAUUCUUUACACAUCCUUUAUUAGAAACAACCAUGUGUUUGCAGCUUGUAGAUCAGACACUAAGUUUCCCAAAGGGAAUAUUGAAGAACCUCUGCGUCCGAGUUGGUACCUUGUACGCCCCAGCAGACUUCGUGGUGAUAGAGACUGGUACUGAUGAGAGGGCACCCAUCAUCCUAGGGAGGCCAUUCCUGAACACCUCGGGAGCUGUCAUCUAUGCUAGUGCUGCCAAGAUCAGUUUCUACAUCAAGGGGAGGAAGGGGACGUUUCCCAGAGCAAUCCCGUCAUGAACCAAGGAAGAGGACCAAUAGGAGGAAUAGAAACAAGCAAGUGUGGACCGAGUCAGCUAAGAUGGUCACUGCAGUUGAUGGAGGUCAAGAUCAUCGACUCAAGUCACCGUUCCUGACCAAGAAGGACGACCCAGGUAUGCCAAGCAUCGAGUGCUCCAUUAUUGUAUACAACUUCGAGAAGACGCUUUGCGACACCGAGUCGGGCGUCAACAUAAUGGACACAGUCACCUAUCAGCUCCUGUUCAGAACCAUGCCCCUAAAACCAACAUACAUUCAGCUCCAAAUGGUAGAUCAUACUUUCCAAAUGGUUGAAGGUAUAGUAACUGAUGUCCCUAUCAAAAUAGACGAUCAUUUUGUCCAUAUAGAUUUUCAGGUUAUUGACAUGGGAGAAGACGAGUACGAUCCACCCAUCAUCCUUGGGAGACCGUUCUUCAGCACCGUUAAAGCAAUCAUCUACAUUGGAACUGGAGAAGUCCACAUGCACUUCCCCUCUAAGAAGGUACGCCGCUAUUUUACUAACCCUAACUGUAUAGUUGAAGACUCUAAGUAGGUCAGGACAAAAAGAAGACGACGCAACCGCAACCAGAGAAGGCAAAUCAUCAAGGACGGAUGGGCAGACUAUGAAGGAGAAGUGGUAAGGUCUAAAAACAUAUAGCUUGAACAGAACUAUCCUGAGGAGACCGUAGCACCGAGUCAGGUGUGGAGAGAGAAGAUGAGGCGCCGCCGGAACCACCGACUACGCCAUCCAACGAAUCCCAGGACGACUGAGAAAACAGAGAGUCCUGUUCGGAGGACUUAAAAACAACGAACGCCUUGCCAAGAGGUAAACUUGGUAGUUAUCCCUUUCCUUUCAAAUCAUUUACUUUUUCUUAAAAAUAGUUUGCUUAGUUAAUCGGGUUCAUAUCAUCUUAAAAAAAAAUAAACAUGUUAAAACCAGUAAGACCCAUGUGAGUAUACAAGUGGCAUAAAACCCAUAAGUAUAUUCACUGUGGUGGCAUAAAAAAAUAAUAAAAUAAAAAUAUUCUUCUGCUCUAUAAAAAAUGAAAAUAUAAAAAUAAAAUUGUGAUCCUACCAAAGAAAGUAGCAUUUAUUGAGGAGGCUCAACAUGAUAAAGGCUAGAUAUUUAUGCUAACACCUAAUCAGUUCCACAAAGCUUUGUUGUCUAUUUGAGCUCCACAGAAUUCAAGGAUCAAGAAGACUAGCAGACGGAGGACAUUCUAAUCGCUGUCAGGGUGCUGCCGACGUUCAAAUACACCUCCACCACCUGCUAGCUACAUCAGAAGAAAUUUCGUCAAAAUCCAGCUUGGGGGAUCGCACCCCAUUUAUCCUGCUAAGUAUUUUUAUCUACAUUUGUAUUAUGCUAUAUUAAAAAAAUAAAAAAAAUAUAUACAUAACCAUGAAAAACCAAAUAAAGAUUUUGUGCUUAUAUAUAUAUCUUUUGCUUAGUGUGCUUAAUAAAUAAAUAAAAUGGCUAUGCUAAACUAAAUCUUAAUAAAACUCUAGCAUGGAUAUGAUGAAUAGUUGCUCUGCCUAAUUUUCAAAUUUGAGUUCUCUCUCUAGUUUAGACAUAACUGUUAUAAUUUAAAGAUUGCUCUAAAAACCUGAACUUGUGGGAAGAGAACUUGAUCGGAAGUCUAAGUUAUUAACGGAUAUGAUAUGGGAAGGUUGAGCUGCUGUUUAUCUAUUCCUAGAGAUGCUAGAAUUCUGGAGAAUUUUAUCUUUGAAAAUCUUUAAAAUAUCACAUGAUGAGUUCCUGUAUGAUGAGAGUUUAAAUUCCUACCACAGCCAUAUAUACAUGCUUGCUAGACUUUGAGCCACACAUUUACUUUUUACUGCUUAUGAGCAUUGAGUGUGGUCAAGCUGUGUAGACCCUUAGGAGCUUGUCAUGUGGUUAAAUCAAGAUUCACUUGCACGUUCACUCACACAUGCUGCUUCUACUCCGGGAGUACGCAUUCACAUAUAUCCACUCAUUUCCAUCUCUAGAGCCACCCAAAAGUAUUCUACUCCUAAUCCGGGAGAGAAUAGCCAAAAACAUUCUCCUAUUUCUAUUUUUCCCUGUGAAAUAAAUGCUCGAGUUAUCUUGGUUACCACCACUUGCUAUAUUAUUUUAGGAAAUGAGUGCUCUAAAAACAGAGAGAGAGAAAGGAUAUGAGGAAAUAAAAAGGGGCAAGUGCCCGGAACCUUGAAAGAAAAGAAAAAGUGUGACGAGAGGUAAAAAUGGACAAGUGUCCGAUAGUAGAAUUAGGGGUGCAAUACCCACCUGAGAGGAAAGAAAAAGAAAAUGUAGAGCAUCUCAUUCCCCUCAAAAGUCUCAAGUGCAAGGAAGGUAUGUAUCCCCUCAAAAAAAAGAAGAAUUAGACUUUCACCAUUGUUAUCACCAUCAUCACCAUACACCAUUCAUUCACCACACAUGCACAUCUUGAUUUGACUUAUUGACUUGUUUCUCUGGAUCCAUGGUUUGACUAUGCAAUAAAUGUCUUGUAAGUAUGUAUACUUUAUCUCCCACCUAUGAGCUCGAGAUAUCAAAACCCUUAUUAAAGUAGGGUGAGAGAGAAGGCAAGGUCACUGUUGACGGUCCUUAAGUAUCAAAUUUAAUUAUCAAAUAAAUAAAGAAAAGGAUCUAAAUGCAACCAACACCCAGACUUAGGGUUUUAUCUGACAGAAUUCCACGAGUUUUGGUGUUUGUCUAUUUCUACAGGGGGUUAUCAGGAAAUACGGAAGAAAGGCCCACAUGUCGGGAUUACAUAGAGAUAUCAACGCACCGCGUAAUUUUCUACCAUCUAGAAGACUCCAGAAGCCACGAGACCGAAGCGGAGGCGAAACGGGGCCAGGACCUGGGCGCCCGCCCACCUGUCGAGCCCAAUCAGGACUCUUUCUCUCGGGAGAUCUCCACCGACCUAUUGGAUCAAGGAAAACAUAGUACCACCUCGCCUACCGACCCAAAAACGCAUAGAGGAGGAGGACUAUAUAAGGAGACCCCCCUGGCCCCUAGAGAAGACAAGAAAUUGUCAUAGAGAUUGAGGGGUGCCCUCGAAGGAAAACCUCUUCUCUAAUUAAUAUUUCUUUUUAGGCUUAGCAACCAAUGUAAGGUAGAAAUAGAUCUUCUAGUUUUUACUAGAUUGAGAGAGAUAGAGUGGAGGUGUAGAUUGGAGGAAGCCCGGCCUGUCGGUGUCUACUCCAAGCUUGUACCUGCGGGAUCAAGUUCUCCUAACCCGAAGCUUGCUCCUAGGAUUCUUCAGUAUUUCGACUUCUAAAUUCUAGUAAGUUCUUGUUUUAUUGUUCUUAUGGUUUAUGAGUUUACUUUAAUCUCUUCGCGUAGAGUUUAGAGUAACCAUUACUGGCGUAAACGUGGUGUUUAGGCUGGGGUACUCAUAGAUAUUCCCUGACUAGCUGGACCGUGGUAGUAGUGAGGAACGUGACAAUUACGAGUUACCUUUGCAGAUCACAUCUCGUUAGCAGGAAGGAUAGGGUUUAUAGGUGCGGGUUGAACAUCCUUUGUGGUGUCUAGAUUCCGUUAGCCUCCCCAUUAGAACAGUAGAUCAUCCUUACCAAGGUUAGAAGGAGACUACGGUUGCAGUCUUCUCUAUUUAUCACUCACAUCGAGAGACAUUCUUUGUAGCCUAAAGGGAUAGUAGCAAUAGAUUUGGUUAGUCAGAUGCACCCUUUCUCCUAGUGGUAAAAAUAUAAAUACGAUAACUCUGGAUAACCUUCCGGGUGAAAUGCUCACCGAUAUCCGUGCGCUUGCGGAUCAUUUCCUUAUUGCGUUACCAAAUAUCAACAAGCAUUUCUGGCGCCGUUGCCGGGGAGAAAGACGGUUUGCUGAGAUAACUUUGAAUCUUGCUAUUAUCUUGUAUUAUACUUUUAUACUUUUAUUCUUUUAUCUUUUUAUUUUUAUCUUUAUGGAUAACUCAAAUUCCAUACCUAUUAUUAAAUUCUUUGCACCUUUGGAAACCAGCCAUAGACCAUGGGAGUCAACACGUCCUGCCCCUAAUUAUGAUCUGUGUCCGGAGUUGAUUGCAAUGGGUCAAAACCAACCCUUUUCUAUAGCUGAGGUCCUAUCUUUUAAUCAAAAAGAUAAUGCACUUUUAGCUACACCUAGGGAAUCUUUUCAUUUUUCUAUAAAUUUUGGUUUAGACCUAGCUCUACAAGACCAUGUUUUUCCUAGAUAUUUUCACAUUGGUCUUAAUCAUAUAACCUUUGGUAGAGUCUUUCUUUCUUUAUCUAUUAGUAAAGGAAGGUAUGUCUUCAUUCGUAGACAUCCUUCUUGCACUAGUCUUCAUAGAAAAAUCUUAGAGAUAGAGAAGGAAUCAUCUCCCAUACAAGGAGAGGAAGUUUCAAUAGCCGAUUUCCAAACAUUUCAAUCCCAUAAUUCGGCUAUCCAACCCAUCCUUGAGCUUAAUAAUUUCUACUAUGCUUUUUCUCUUGAACCUCCCGAUAAUCCUAUGAAUCUCUCUAGACAUCCCAUGCAUAAGAAGGAGGAUCGAGAAGAGCAACAUGCUAGAGGGCAUUAAAAAUCCAUGUGCUAUCACCAUUGAAUGGAUAGAUAAAACAAACUUGAGAGACAAUCCUAGAGGAAUUUUAAGCAUUCAUGAAGAAUCAUCCUUGGAGUUUGAGAAUGAGAGAAACAACAGUGAGCAUGGAAGUUAUUUCAUAAAUACCUCACCCAGUCCUUGCUCAUAUAAAACAUCUCUCCAAUCAAUUUGUCUCUCCAUCCUUACCACAUUUGAGAUCUCCAACCCCCUCUUCCUCUUCAUUUAUAAAAACUUUAAAAGGGCGGUUGUCGAUGCAUAUGUCUAUAAUAAAUAUUGCAGAUCUCGUUGAGUUGAUCUUGAUAUAGGUAGGUGUUGGAGGGGAAACCACUUCACCAACAUAACUUGAUGGUUUCCCAAGAACAAGCUUAGUGUCCUAAAACAAGCACUUAUCAGAUCAUAACAUGAACUUCUAAUUAUUUGCAACAUUGCCUUGUGUAUUGAGCAUAUAAAGAUAUUGUAUAAAUAUUCCUUCGGGUAUUCUUGUCACUAACCUUUCUAGGAUUGGAGCAAGAAGAUCCGAGGAAUGACAAACACAAGGUAUGUCCAACCAACCAUCACACAACAUUGAAUUAAAUUCAUCCAAACUUGAAUUUUGUAAAAUUCAAGCUUGGGGGAGUACUUUACAUAAAAAACAUCCUUUGCCAUGUUACUAUGUUGGUUGUCCUUACCUUUGAGACAUGCUCAAUUUGUUAAAUACUAAUUACACUACUUCAUCUCCACUUAAGUAGAUCUCUAUAAAUGCUCUCAUGCUACCUUUAUUUGCUUUAGUAUAUGUCUAGGUUUGGAAUAGUUUCAUUUAUCUCUUAAUUAAGCAUGGUGCUUAGUUUAGGAAUGAUGAUCUUACUUCCAAGGGAUUUUAAAUUAAGCAUGGUGCUUAGGUUAAAAUACCCUUCUAAAUCAAAUUAGACAUGGUGUCUAGGUUGAUUUUUAAGCCGAUAGUAUGCUAUAGUAGAUAUGGUAUAUUUUGUUGGACUAACCCCUGCAGGAAAACUUUCAAUAUCAACCUGGGAAGUCCUGAGAUAAACUCGCAUUGGAGAUGAAGAAAGUGACACAUGAAGUUUAACAAUUUGCACAAGAAAGACGUGGCUCAUAAGAGAUGAUUCAUGGAGGGUGCCACAAACACGAUGCACAACCGCUAAGAAAGGAAAGCUUCCACAAGGUGAUACUGUACCGUCACUCUUCAAGUAAGGUAACACCUUAAGGUACUUGACUAUCGCUUUUAUAAGCUUCUCCUUUGUUCUAGCAUUCACAUAAAUAAAGAGACAAACAUGUAUGAUUUAUAACUCCAGAUUAACCAACUCAAUUAAUUCAACAUGUUUAGUCCUUUAAUCUCUGUUCUUAGUACUACCUUCGUGAUCCCACGCUCCUAAACAUAUAAGCUAAUAUGUUGCGCAUUCAAUAUUUGGAAGAUAUAAACAAAACAUAAACAUAGAUAGAUUAUCUUUCCAUUAGGUUGAGCCAUCUGAUCUGACAAAUGUUUCAAAUACUACACUCAUGAUCUUAUUAUCCAUCAACUUUGUCUUGCUCACUAUGCUUAAGGUUAGAGAAGAACAAAUACACUUUUGGUUCUGUUGGUGUCUUCCACCAACAGAGCCCAUGCACUUGAUCUCUGCCUUGUCUCUAUGAACAGGUACACUUCAAGCAAAACAUGGAGGAGUUCUACAACUCCCAGACUCCACCAAGUGAAGGACCUGGAUCUAUGAGCACAAGCACACUGAGCAGAAUAUUGCCAACACCAUACUUCGAACUGCUGGGCAAAGAAGAACAUGGGUGACACCGUAUCAAGAGGUGCAGACGUCAAGGUCCACACCUAAUCAAAUGAUGCACCUAAAGGAUGAAGAUGGUGGAAAGUCUUGUCCAGAAGACUUAAAACAUUAGAUCCUUGUCGGAAGAGGUCAACAUCGUCGACUCAAGUCACCUUUCUUGAUCAAGAAGGACGACCCUGGUGUUCCAAGCAUCGAGUGUGCAAUCAAUGGAUACUCUUUUCAGAAGACACUCUACGACACCGGAUCUGACGACAACAUAAUGGCCGUAGUCACUUAUCAGCUCCUGCAUGGAACCAUGCCCCUACAACCAAUAUAUUGAGCUCCAGAUGAUUUUCAGGUCAUUGACAUGAGAGAAGACGAAUAUGAUCCACCCACCAUCCUUGGAAGACCGUUCCUCAACACUAUCAAAGCAAUCAUCUAUAUUGGAACCGGAGAAGUCCACAUGUACUUCCCCUCUGAGAAGGUACGCAAUUAUUUUACUGACCAUAACUAUAUAGUUGAAGACUCUAAGCAGGUCAGGACAAGAAGACGACGCAACCAGAGGAGGCAAAUCAUCAAGAACGGAUGGGUAGACUACGAAGGAGAAGUGAUAAGGACUGAAGACAUACAGCUUGAACAGAACUGUCCUGAGGAGACCAUAGCACCGAGUCAGGUGUGGAGGGAGAAGAUAGUUAUACACGAAGAUAGGCGCCGCCGGAAUCACCGACUACGCCACCUAGCGAAUCCCAGGACGACUGAGAAAACAGAGAGUCUCGUUCGGAGGACAUAAAAAUACCGAACGCGUUGCCAAGAGGUAAACUUGGUAGUUACCCUUUCCUUUCGAUUAUUCAAUUAUAAUUUGCUUAGUUAAUCAGGUUCAUGCUAUCUUGAAAAGAAAAUAAAAAUGUUAAAUAGUAAGCCCCAUGUGAGUAUGCUCAUGGCAUAAAACCUAUAAGUACAUUCACUGUGGUGGCAUAAAAAAUAAAAUAAAUAAGUUUUCAUCUUACAAUAAAGAAAAUAAUAAAUAAAUAAUAAUAAUAAUAAUAAUAAUAAUAAUAAUAAGUGUAUGAUCCUGCUAAAUAAAUAACAUUUAUUAAGGAAGCUCAACAUGAUGAAGGCUAGAUAUUUAUGCUAACACUUAAUUAGUUCCACAAGCUUUGUUGUCUAUUUGAGCUCCACAAUUUAAGAAUCAAGAAGACUAGCAGACGGAGGACAUUCUAAUCGCUGUCAGAAUGCUGCUGACUUUCAAAUACACCUCUGCCACCUGCUAGCUACAUCAACAGAAAUUACGUCAAAAUUCAGCUUGGGGGAGAGCACCCCCAUUAUUCUCGCUAAGUAUUUCUACCUAUCUUUAUAUUAUGUUAGAAUAUUAAAAUACAUAAACUAUGAAAAAAAAUAAAGAUUUUGUGCUUAUAUAUAUCUUUUGCUUAGUAUGUUUAAUAAAUAAAUAAAGUGGCUAUGCUAGUCUGAAUUUUAAUAAUAAAACUCUAGCAUGGAUAUGAUGAAUAGUUGCUCUGCCUAAUUUGCAAUUUUGAAGUUCCCUCUCAAGUUUAGACAUAACUGUUAUAAUUUAAAGCUUGCUCUAGAUCUAAACUUGUGGGAUAAAAACUUGAUCUGAAAUCUAAGUUGUUAACGGAUAUGAUAUGGGAAGGUUGAGCUGCUGUUUAUCUGUUCCUAGAGAUGCUAGAAUUCUGGAGAAUUUUAUCUUUGAAAAAUCAUUAAAAUAUGCUAGAAUUCUGGAGAAUUUUAUCUUUGAAAAAUCAUUAAAAUAUUGCAUGAUGAGUUCCUGUAUUAUGAGAGUUUAAAUUCCAACCACAGCCAUAUGUACAUGCUUAUUAGACUAUGAACCAUACAUUUACUUUUUACUGCUUAUGAGCAUUGAGUGUGGUCAAGCUGUGUAGACUCUUAGGAGCUUGUCAUGUGGUUAAAUCAAGAUUCACUUGCACGUUCACUCAUAUAUGCUACUUCUACUCCGGAAGUACCAUCCACAUAUAUCCAUCCAUUUCCAUCUCCAGAAUCACCCAAAAAUAUUCUACUCCUAAUCCGGGAGAGAAUAGUCAAAAACAUUUUCCUAUCCCUGUUAUUCCCUGUGAAAUAAAUGCUCCAAAUAUUUUGGUUACUACCACUUGCUAUAUUAUCUCAAGAGAUGAGUGCUCUGAAAAAAAAGAAAAAAAGAAAAAAAAUAUAAACGAGGAAAUAAAAAGGGGCAAGUGCCCGGAACCUCGAAAGAAAGAAAAAGUGAGACGAGAGGUAAAAAUGGACAAGUGUCCGACAGUAGAAUUAGGGGUUGUUGAUGCAAAACUGGUCUGCAAACACAAAGGGCUAAUACCCGAUUUAAACGUUAAGGCGUGCCAGCCGAUUUGACCUUGCUAUCGGCAAAGGUGAUAACUCGAAUACUUUAGUCGUGACAACAGCGAUGCGCCCGGAUGUCACAGCUAAGAGGUACUCACGCGGAACUUGAGAACACGCUGAGCUUAAGUCGACGAAUUCCUAAGAACUCGUAACAAAAGGAAAAAGUAUGACGAAGUCGUCAAAAAGUAAAUGCUGGAAUACGAGUAAAAACGUGUGUUUGAUUUCUUGAUUGAUUAUCUAUUACAAGGCCCUAGGGUCUACAUUUAUACCCUGCUCAAAGAGCUACAACCAGACACGAUUAGAAUUCGAAUUCCAAAUUACACGGAAUCCGUAUACAAAACGAUGUAAAUAAUUAAGGAAAUAACAAAACUAUCCCUCGUGACAAACCGAAACUCCUCCACAUAACGACCGUCAGCUUCCGGACUCCCUCUUUGCAUCAUCGGCAGACCCUUUGCCAUAGUCAUCGGCAGACUUUCUUAUCUAGCCAUCGGCACCAUAUUACUGCCUGUGGACUUAAUCACGUUCAACCUCUCCCUCAUCGGCAACCAUCCUCAUCGGCAACCCACUUUGUAAACAUCGUACUGCCACCUUAUCCUGCCAUCCCAGACACGUGCCCAAAAACGGUGUCAACACAUGCCCCCCAGUUUCGGAGUAUAAAACUAUUAAUGCUCCGAAAUUCUCUGCAGUAAUGAUGCCUUUUCCCGCAAUUAAUGCUCCUAAUCUGGUAACCGACAACCUCAAUCUGAACAACUCUGAUCCU